GCUGUUCGCAAGUGGUGGAGACGGGCGAGACGGGGAAGGUACAGAAAAACGUGCAGAAAUAUCAGAAAAUUACUAUUUGAAAGAACAGCGGCGUCGUCUCUUCAACGCACCAUGACUUUGGCGGUGAUUGUAGCGGCAUUUCUGCUGGUAACGGCAGUGUCGGCAAAGGAGCCAACUCCAGUCGUCAUGUGGCACGGCAUGGGAGACUCCUGCUGCCUUCCAUUCAGCAUGGGUGCCAUCAAGGAGGAAUUGGAAAAGCAGGUAGCUGGCGUGUAUGUGCGCUCACUGGAAAUCGGCUCCAGUGUUAUCCAAGAUACCCUGAACGGCUUUUUCAUGCCGAUCGACGCCCAAGUGGAGGAGGCCUGUCAGAAGAUCGCUGCUGAUGAGAGCCUCCAGGGAGGCUACAACGCCAUGGGCUUCUCCCAGGGAGGACAGUUUUUGCGGGCGGUGGCGCAGCGGUGUCCCAGCCCUCCGAUGAAGAACCUCAUCACGUUCGGUGGCCAGCACCAGGGCGUGUUCGGACUACCGCACUGCCUCGGUACCAAAGGCGUGUGCGAGGUCGUCAAGAAGCUGCUUGACUACGGAGCAUACGAAAGUUUCGUGCAGUCUCAUCUGGUGCAGGCCCAGUACUGGCACGACCCCCUCAAACAGCAGCAGUAUGUCGAGGUGUCCCAGUUCCUCGCCGACAUCAACAACGAACGGGAUGUGAAGAACGAGACGUACAAGGAGAACCUGAACAAGCUGGAGAACCUGGUGCUGGUGAUGUUCUCCAACGACACGAUGGUGGUGCCGCGCGAGUCCUCCCACUUUGGCUUCUACGCCCUGGGCCAGGACCAGGUGGUGGUGCCGCUGCAGCAGACUCCGAUCUACACUGAGGACUACUUGGGCCUGAAGCAGCUGGACGCGGACGGCAAGCUGACGAUGCUGGAGACGGAGGGCGACCACCUGCAGUUCAGCAUUGACUGGCUGGUGGAGAACAUCGUCAACGUGUAUCUCAAGUAGGAGGUCCGCACGCCUGGAGCAAACAGUUCCCGGUGGGGGACGGCCAGCGGCAGUCGCCAAUUGACAUCAUCACCGCGCAGACCAAGCCGGACGAGGCUCUGGAGGCCAGCCCGCUGGAGAUCAGCUACGACCCCAAGGACGAACAGGUCAUCGGUAACACUGGUCACGGCUGGAAGGUGGACUACACGAGCGGCACAUCCUCGAUCCGCGGCGGCCCGCUGGAGGGAGAGUACGCUCUGGCGCAGUACCACUGCCACUGGGGCCGAGAGGAGGACCGCGGCUCCGAGCAUACCAUCGACGGAAAACGGUACGCCGCCGAGCUGCACCUUGUGCACUACAACAAGAAGUAUGGCAGCUUCGCGGCGGCAGCUGACAAAAGCGAUGGCCUGGCCGUCAUAGGCAUCUUCCUCAAGAGUCGGAGCCGAGCUUGGAGUCGAAGUUGGAGGUGAAGUUGGAGUCGGAGUUGGAGUCAGAGUUGGAGUCGGAGAUGGGCGGAGAUGGAGUCGGAAUCGGAGUCGGAAGUGGAGUUGCCCAGAAAGCCGGAGUCUGAACAGUGCUACCACGACUGACUCUGAAACCCUGCUUCUAGAAGGUGGGAAAGGAGAACAAGGAGCUGCUCAAGGUGACGAACGCCAUGAAGGACAUCAAGUACAACGGCAGCAAGACCAAGAUCGAGCCCACCGACCCUGACAACUUCAUGCCCGACACGCGCGUCUACUGGACGUACGAGGGCUCGCUCACCACGCCGCCGCUGUACGAGAGCGUCACCUGGAUCGUGUUCGCCGACCCCACGGAAAUCUCCAAGGAACAGUUGGCUGAGUUCCGGCACCUGAAGCGGCACGCCAACGACGACGAGAAGGGCGAGGACAGCGACGACGACGACGGCAUCAUCGCCGACAACUACCGGCCGCCGAUGCCGACCGGCGAGCGUGCCGUGCGCAGCUGCAACGCGCCCGUCAAGUUUGUCAAGAAGCAGUGAGGGCCGCGCGCCGAGCGUCGCCCCGUGGCCGUCUCCGGCGCGGGGCGGUCCGCGCCAGACACCGCCGCUCAGCCCACCCGCGGCCGGCUGUCCAGAGACUGCCGGAGACCCGGCUCACCGCUCACCGCACUGGUGGAGACAUGCGCUUCCUGUUAGAGGCUCCCAGCGGGGCCAGCCUUAGCUACAUCAGUAGUGUUUGUCUAGGACAAUCCAGAGAUAUAUCGCAUCGUUGCGCGCCGAGAGUUGUUGAGCCGAAUUAGUUUUGUACUCGAUGUUGAUUGUUUCUGUGAGCGGCCGUCCGCGCUGACGGUUUACCGUGGCGUCGAUAUGUCGCUCGUGACCCGCCCCGCCCCGUCUGACUCUGUGGACUGUGCCGCCGGUGUACGGUUUUGGUCGGGGAUUUAGCCCCGACUGGCAGGCCGUAGUGCGGUAGUGCAAUCAGCACGGCGGGGUCGCACAAGGGUCAGGUCCCAGACACUGCAAUACACCAGUGAAUAUACUAA